UGGUGGCCUAGUGGUUAGAGCGUCCACCUCGGAUGCGGGAGGUCGUGGGUUCGAGCCCCUGCCGUAUCAU